rnacentral:misc_RNA from 1 species
GUGUUUGGUUUGUUACGGGUGGUUGGCUCUCUGCUUGCGCAACAACUUCCACCUGGCUUACCWCCUCAUUUAUGCGUCAUGACUUGUAUCGUCUUGAGCGUAUUGUGGGUUUCCUGUGUUGCAUACCUUUCUAAUGGUAUCGAUUUGAUUGAUCGAAGUCCCUUUUCAUCUUGUGUUGCCUUUGCGAUGCAUGAUGAACCUUGAGGCGGUCUCUAUGUUCCACAACGUUGAUGCUAGUGUUUUGAUGUUGUGGCCCAUUGAGCGUUGCCUGGUUUCGUGGAUACAGAACAUGAUUUGGGCAUAGGGUUACUUGUGACUCUUGUUYUGUCCUUUAUCAGUGUUCUUUAUAACGACGGUUCAUGCGCGCCUAGGCUCGUACCUGCGCGAUGUUCUUUGUCGAAGAGGAAUGCUACCUGGUUGAUCCUGCCAGUAGUCAUAUGCUUGUCUCAAAGAUUAAGCCAUGCAUGUGUAAGU